rnacentral:rRNA from 1 species
AACGAACGCUGGCGGCAGGCUUAACACAUGCAAGUCGAGCGCCCCGCAAGGGCAGCGGCAGACGGGUGAGUAACGCGUGGGAAUCUACCCAUCCCUACGGAAUAGCUCCGGGAAACUGGAAUUAAUACCGUAUACGCACUACGGGGGAAAGAUUUAUCGGGGAUGGAUGAGCCCGCGUUGGAUUAGCUAGUUGGUGGGGUAAAGGCCUACCAAGGCGACGAUCCAUAGCUGGUCUGAGAGGAUGAUCAGCCACAUUGGGACUGAGACACGGCCCAAACUCCUACGGGAGGCAGCAGUGGGGAAUAUUGGACAAUGGGGGCAACCCUGAUCCAGCCAUGCCGCGUGAGCGAUGAAGGCCUUAGGGUUGUAAAGCUCUUUCACCGGGGAAGAUAAUGACGGUACCCGGAGAAGAAGCCCCGGCUAACUUCGUGCCAGCCGCCGCCGUAA